rnacentral:tRNA from 1 species
GCAUCGGUGGUUCAGUGGUAGAAUGCUCGCCAGCUCAGCUCGGGCCCGGAUCGAUUCCCGGCCGAUGCA